UAUAUUUUAGUAUAUGAUGUACAUGAGUUUUUGAUACUUAAGGGGAUAGUUUAAUUCUAUCAAAUAUAA
rnacentral:tRNA from 1 species